UAGGGAAUCUUCCGCAAUGGACGAAAGUCUGACGGAGCAACGCCGCGUGAGUGAAGAAGGAUUUCGGUUCGUAAAACUCUGUUGUUAGGGAAGAAAAAAUGUAUAGUAACUAUAUACAAAAGAGACGGUACCUAACCAGAAAGCCACGGCUAACUACGUGCCAGCAGCCGCGGUAAUACGUAGGUGGCAAGCGUUGUCCGGAAUUAUUGGGCGUAAAGCGCGCGCAGGUGGUUUAGAAAGUCUGAUGUGAAAGCCCACGGCUCAACCGUGGAGAGUCAUUGGAAAAUAAUAAACUUGAGUGCAGGAGAGAAAAGUGGAAUUCCCAGUGUAGCGGUGAAAUGCGUAGAGAUUAGGGGGAACACCGGUGGCGAAAGCGGCUUUUUGGCCUGCAACUGACACUGAGGGGCGAAAGCGUGGGGAGAAAACAGG
rnacentral:rRNA from 1 species